rnacentral:lncRNA from 1 species
AGAUCUAGCCGUGUAGGUGUCCGAAGCAUCCAAUGACCAAGCGAAAUUGUCAUGCACUUCAGUGUUUCGCUCGACAUGGGCAAUCUGGAGUCUCAGGUGCAUGAGCUGAAUCAAGGCCAUGAAAGGGGAUUUCUUCAUAAAUAUCCACCUCCCAUCUGCUGUGAGUGAGAGCUUUUGCCACCGUACGGUGAUAUUGGGCGCGCAAAAGAACCAGAGAGAUAUAUCUGGAGAGCAGCCGACGAUAGUCUUGCCAUGGAGCCAUC